rnacentral:rRNA from 1 species
GUAGUCUCGCACAGAUGCAUAUCAAUAAGCGGAGGAAAAGAAACUAACAAGGAUUCCCUCAGUAACGGCGAGUGAAGCGGGAAGAGCUCAAAUUUGAAAUCUUGAAAGGUCACCUUUCACGAAUUGUAGUUUAAAGAAGUGUUUUCUGUUACGAUCGUAAUAUAAGUUCUUUGGAAUAGGACAUCACAGAGGGUGAGAAUCCCGUCUAUGAUUGCGAUUUGUAGCUUUGUGAUACACUUUCAAAGAGUCGGGUUGUUUGGGAAUGCAGCCCAAACGGGAGGUAAAUUUCUUCUAAGGCUAAAUAUUGGCGAGAGACCGAUAGCGAACAAGUACCGUGAGGGAAAGAUGAAAAGAACUUUGAAAAGAGAGUUAAACAGUACGUGAAAUUGUCAAAAGGGAAGCGUUUGACACCAGUGUUGUUUUCUCGAAAAUCAAUUAAAAAUGGCUCGAUUUUGUAUUGCUGAGACCUUAAAAGCUCAUUGUACAUUUUUCGUGUCUUUUUAAUGCACUUUUCGUUUAACAAGUCAACAUCAGUUUCUUUUGUUGUAAAAGGGUCAUUGGAAGGUGGCUUUCUUUUCGGAGAAAGUGUUUAUAGCCUUUGGCCUCUGCAAUCGGAGAGACUGAGGUCUGCAGCGUAGACUCUUCGGGGUUAGAUACAUUUGUGCUAAGUUAUAGCUUUUUAUAGACAACUUGUUGACUAUAAUUAGUCUUGUAGCUUACUCGCUUAUGCUAUUUUACCUACGCUUAGGAUGUUGAGUCGUAGAGCACGCAG